CACGUAGGGGGCAAGCGUUGUCCGGAUUUAUUGGGCGUAAAGAGCUCGUAGGCGGCUCAGUAAGUCGGGUGUGAAACCUCCAGGCUCAACCUCGAGACGCCGAUGGAAACCCCCGAACUAGAGUCCGGAAGAGGAGAGUGGAAUUCCUGGUGUAGCGGUGAAAUGCGCAGAUAUCAGGAAGAACACCCGUGGCUAAGGCGGCUCUCUAGUACGGUACUGACGCUGAGACGCGAAAGCGUGGGGAGCGAACAGG
rnacentral:rRNA from 1 species